rnacentral:rRNA from 1 species
UACAGAGGUCUCAAGCGUUGUUCGGAUUCAUUGGGCGUAAAGGGUGUGUAGGUGGCGCGCUAAGUCGGGUGUGAAAUUUCGGAGCUUAACUCCGAAACUGCAUUCGAUACUGGCGUGCUUGGGGACUGGAGAGGAGACUGGAAUUCAUGGUGUAGCGGUGAAAUGCGUAGAGAUCCGGAGGAACACCAGCGGCGAAGGCGGCAUCCUGGACUGGUCCUGACACUCAGGAGCGAAAGCGUGGGGAGCGAUCCGG